UACGGGGGGGGCAAGCGUUGUUCGGAAUUACUGGGCGUAAAGGGCGCGUAGGCGGCAUGACAAGUCACUUGUGAAAUCUCCGGGCUUAACUCGGAACGGCCAAGUGAAACUGUCAAGCUAGAGUGCAGAAGGGGCAAUCGGAAUUCUUGGUGUAGCGGUGAAAUGCGUAGAUAUCAAGAGGAACACCUGAGGUGAAGACGGGUUGCUGGGCUGACACUGACGCUGAGGCGCGAAAGCCAGGGGAGCAAACGGG
rnacentral:rRNA from 1 species